rnacentral:misc_RNA from 1 species
UCCGAUUUGACACCGGCAGUCUCCUAUAAGUCCCCGACAUCACUCGCUGGCAACAUAGGAUAAGGGUUGCGCUCGUUGCGGGACUUAACCCAACACCUCACGGCACGAGCUGACGACAACCAUGCAGCACCUUGUAUGGCGCCCCGAAGGGAAGCCCUGUUUCCAGGGCGGUCGCCAUACAUUCUAGCCCAGGUAAGGUUCCUCGCGUAUCAUCGAAUUAAACCACAUGCUCCUCCGCUUGUGCGGGCCCCCGUCAAUUCCUUUGAGUUUUAACCUUGCGGCCGUACUCCCCAGGCGGGGCACUUAAUGCGUUAGCUACGGCACGGAACCCGUUGAAAAGGUCCCACACCUAGUGCCCAACGUUUACGGCGUGGACUAC